rnacentral:rRNA from 1 species
UAAUACCCGACGGUNCCUUCGGGGCAGAGAGCAAUCGGCCGGGUACGGGCUCGCAGUGCAUCAGCUAGUCGGCGGUGUAACGGCCCGCCGAGGCGACGACGGGUAGGUGGUCUGAGAGGAUGGUCACGCACACUGGGACUGAGACAGUGCCCAGACUCCUACGGGAGGCUGCAGUCGAGAAUCAUCCGCAAUGGGCGAAAGCCUGACGGUGCAACGCCGCGUGGGGGAUGAAUGCCCUCGGGUCGUAAACCCCUGUCAGAGGGGACGAAAAACAUGACGGUACCCUCAGAGGAAGCCACGGCUAACUACGUGCCAGCAGCCGCGGUAACACGUAGGUGGCGAGCGUUAUUCGGAUUUACUGGGCGUAAAGGGUCCGCAGGGGGUUUGCCAAGUCCGGUGUGAAAGUCCGGGGCUCAACCCCGGAACUGCGCCGGAUACUGGUGAACUUGAGUGCGCGAGGGGCAGGCGGAAUUCCUGGUGUAGCGGUGGAAUGCGUGGAUAUCAGGAAGAACACCGACGGCGAAAGCGGCCUGCUGGCGCGCGACUGACCCUGAUUGAAGAAAGCGUGGGUAGCGAACAGGAUUAGAUACCCUGGUAGUCC